GCCGACGUGGCUCAGUGGCAGAGCGAGUCAUUGGUAAUGACUAGGUCAUGGGUCCGAUUCCCAUCGUCGGCU
rnacentral:tRNA from 1 species